UACGGGGGGGGCAAGCGUUGUUCGGAAUUACUGGGCGUAAAGGGCGCGUAGGCGGCCCUCUAAGUCAGACGUGAAAUCCCCCGGCUUAACCUGGGAACUGCGUCUGAUACUGGAGGGCUUGAGUAUGGGAGAGGGAUGUAGAAUUCCAGGUGUAGCGGUGAAAUGCGUAGAUAUCUGGAGGAAUACCAGUGGCGAAGGCGGCGGCCUGGGCAGAUACUGACGCUGAGGUGCGAAAGCGUGGGGAGCAAACAGG
rnacentral:rRNA from 1 species